rnacentral:rRNA from 1 species
UACGGAGGAUGCAAGUGUUAUCCGGAAUCACUGGGCGUAAAGCGUCUGUAGGUGGUUUAAUAAGUCAACUGUUAAAUCUUGAGGCUCAACCUCAAAAUCGCAGUCGAAACUAUUAGGCUAGAGUAUAGUAGGGGUAAAGGGAAUUUCCAGUGGAGCGGUGAAAUGCGUAGAGAUUGGAAAGAACACCGAUGGCGAAGGCACUUUACUGGGCUAUUACUAACACUCAGAGACGAAAGCUAGGGUAGCAAACAGG